UACGUAGGGUGCGAGCGUUAAUCGGAAUUACUGGGCGUAAAGCGUGCGCAGGCGGUUCGUUAAGUUCGAUGUGAAAGCCCCGGGCUCAACCUGGGAACUGCAUUGGAAACUGGCGAGCUUGAAUGCGGCAGAGGGGGGUGGAAUUCCUGGUGUAGCGGUGAAAUGCGUAGAUAUCAGGAGGAACACCGAUGGCGAAAGCGGCUCUCUGGACCACAACUGACGCUGAGGCGCGAAAGCUAGGGGAGCAAACAGG
rnacentral:rRNA from 1 species